rnacentral:rRNA from 1 species
CUAGUGGCGAACGGGUGAGUAACACGUGGGUAACUUAUCUUAGAGACGAGGAUAACGGUUGGAAACGACUGCUAAUACUGGAUAGGUUAAAUUAACGCAUGUUAGUUUAAUUAAAGGUGCGAUUGCACCGCUAUAAGAGAGACCCGCGGCGCGUUAGUUAGUUGGUGAGGUAACGGCUCACCAAGACGAUGAUGCGUAGCUGUGCUGAGAGGCAAAACAGCCACACUGGGACUGAGACACGGCCCAGACUCCUACGGGAGGCAGCAGUAGGGAAUUUUCGGCAAUGGACGAAAGUCUGACCGAGCAAUGCCGCGUGAGUGAUGAAGGUCUUCGGAUCGUAAAACUCUGUUGUUAGGGAAGAAUAGUAUAACUAGGAAAUGAGUUAUAAAGUGACGGUACCUAACUAGAAAGCCCCGGCUAACUAUGUGCCAGCAGCCGCGGUAAUACAUAGGGGGCGAGCGUUAUCCGGAAUUAUUGGGCGUAAAGCGUGCGUAGGCGGUUUAUUAAGUCUGAUGUGAAAUGUCACAGCUUAACUGUGAAGGGUCAUUGGAAACUGGUAAACUUGAGUACAGUAGGGGUAAGUGGAAUUCCAAGUGGAGCGGUGGAAUGCGUAGAGAUUUGGAGGAACACCAGUGGCGAAGGCGGCUUACUGGGCUGGAACUGACGCUGAGGCACGAGAGCGUGGGGAGCAAACAGGAUUAGAUACCCUGGUAGUCCACGCUGUAAACGAUGAGUAUUAAGUGUCGGAUGUAAAUUCGGUGCUGCAGUUAACACAAUAAAUACUCCGCCUGGGGAGUACGGUCGCAAGACUGAAACUCAAAGGAAUUGACGGGGACUCGCACAAGCGGUGGAGCAUGCGGAUUAAUUCGAUGCAACGCGAAGAACCUUACCAGGUCUUGACAUCCCACUGACCGGUCUAGAGAUAGAUCUUCCCUUCGGGGCAGUGGAGACAGGUGGUGCAUGGUUGUCGUCAGCUCGUGUCGUGAGAUGUUGGGUUAAGUCCCACAACGAGCGCAACCCUUAUCAUUAGUUGCUACCAUUAAGUUGAGAACUCUAAUGAGACCGCCGGUGACAAACCGGAUGAAGGUGGGGAUGACGUCAAAUCAUCAUGCCCCUUAUGACCUGGGCUUCACGCGUGCUACAAUGGCUAGUACAAAGAGUUGCGAGACCGCGAGGUUAAGCUAAUCUCAUAAAACUAGUCUCAGUUCGGAUUGUAGUCUGCAACUCGACUACAUGAAGUUGGAAUCGCUAGUAAUCGCAAAUCAGAAUGUUGCGGUGAAUA